rnacentral:rRNA from 1 species
GACGAACGCUGGCGGCGUGCUUAACACAUGCAAGUCGAACGGUAAGGCCCUUCGGGGUACACGAGUGGCGAACGGGUGAGUAACACGUGGGUGAUCUGCCCUGCACUUCGGGAUAAGCCUGGGAAACUGGGUCUAAUACCGGAUAGGACCACUGCCUGCAUGGGUGUUGGUUGAAAGCUUUUGCGGUGUGGGAUGGGCCCGCGGCCUAUCAGCUCGUUGGUGGGGUGAUGGCCUACCAAGGCGACGACGGGGAGCCGGGCUGAGAGGGGUGACCGGCCACACUGGGACUGAGAUACGGCCCAGACUCCUACGGGAGGCAGCAGUGGGGAAUAUUGCACAAUGGGCGCAAGCCUGAUGCAGCGACGCCGCGUGAGGGAUGACGGCCUUCGGGUUGUAAACCUCUUUCAGCACCGACGAAGCGCAAGUGACGGUAGGUGCAGAAGAAGGACCGGCCAACUACGUGCCAGCCGCCGCCGUAA